rnacentral:rRNA from 1 species
GAUAAACGCUGGCGGCGUGCCUAAUACAUGCAAGUCGAACGAGGAGUCUUUGUAGCAAUACGAGGAUUUCCUAGUGGCGAAUGGGUGAGUAACGCGUUGGUGACCUACCCCGAAGAGAGGAAUAACUCCGGGAAACUGGAGCUAAUACCUCAUGUGGUUACCAGGGUUAGAGGCCUGGUAUCUGAAGGAGUAAUCCACUUUGGGAGGGACCUGCGUCCCAUCAGCUUGUUGGUAGGGUAACGGCCUACCAAGGCUACGACGGGUAGGGGGCCUGAGAGGGUGGCCCCCCACACUGGCACUGAAACACGGGCCAGACACCUACGGGUGGCAGCAGUAGGGAAUAUUGCACAAUGGGCGAAAGCCUGAUGCAGCAACGCCGCGUGAACGAUGAAGACCUUCGGGUUGUAAAGUUCUUUUCUGAAGGACGAGGAAGGACGGUACUUCAGGAAUAAGGAUCGGCUAACUACGUGCCAGCAGCCGCGGUAAUACGUAGGAUCCGAGUGUUAUCCGAAUUUACUGGGCGUAAAGCGUGUGCAGGCGGUUUGGUAAGUUGGAUGUGAAAGCUCCCGGCUCAACUGGGAGAGGCCGUUCAAAACUACCAGACUUGAGGACGGUAGAGGGAGGUAGAAUUCCCGGUGUAGUAGUGAAAUGCGUAGAUAUCGGGAGGAAUACCAGUGGCGAAGGCGGCCUCCUGGACCGUUCCUGACGCUCAGACACGAAAGCUAGGGGAGCGAACGGGAUUAGAAACCCCGGUAGUCCUAGCUGUAAACGAUGCAAACUUGGUGUUGGUGGGGUAAAAUCCGCCGGUGCCGAAGCUAACGCGAUAAGUUUGCCGCCUGGGGACUACGGCCGCAAGGUUAAAACUCAAAGGAAUUGACGGGGCCCCGCACAAGCAGCGGAGCGUGUGUUUAAUUCGUUGCUACGCGAAAACCUUACCCGGGUUUGACAUAUAGGUAGUAGGGAUCCGAGAGGUGACCGACCCUUCGGGGAGCCUAUACAGGUGCUGCAUGGCUGUCGUCAGCUCGUGCCGUGAGGUGUCCGGUUAAGUCCGGUAACGAGCGCAACCCUCGCUGUAUGUUACAAGUGUCAUACAGGACUGCCGGUAUCAAGCCGGAGGAAGGCGGGGAUGACGUCAAGUCAGCAUGGCCUUUAUAUCCGGGGCUACACACACGCUACAAUGGCCGGUACAAUGGGUCGCAAAGCCGCGAGGUAGAGCCAAUCCCCAAAACCGGUCUCAGUUCAGACUGCAGGCUGCAACCCGCCUGCACGAAGCCGGAGUUGCUAGUAAACGCGCGUCAGCAUUAGUGCGUUGAAUACGUUCCCGGGGCUUGUACACACCGCCCGUCACGUCAUGGGAGCUGGUAACACCUGAAGCCGGUAUCCUAACCCGUCAGGGAGGGAGCUGUCGAAGGUGGGACUGGUGACUGGGACG